GGUAUAUGAGUAGAAAUAAUCCAUGCAACUCCCAGACCUGGCUUCUGAAUGCCCCUGCACAGUGUUGUACCUGCAGGGAUGCUGGUGCUGACCAUGGUCCAGAACCCACAGGCACAAGAUGGAAGGCCCCUUCCACGCUCUCCCAAUGACUGGGCACCACAGGGAUGCCGGUGCUGACCGUGAUCCAGGAGCCCACAUGCAGAAGAUGGAAGGCCCCUUCCACGCUCUCCCAGUGACUGGGCACCACAGGGAUGCCGGUGCUGACCGUGAUCCAGGAACCCACAUGCAGAAGAUGGAAGGCCCCUUCCACGCCGUCCCAAUGACUGGGCACCACAGGGAUGCCGGUGCUGACCGUGAUACAGAACCCACAUGCAGAAGAUGGAAGGCCCCUUCCACGCCCUCCGAGUGACUGGGUACCACAGGGAUGCCAGUGCUGACCGUGAUCCAGAACCCACAUGCAGAAGAUGGAAGGCCCCAUCCACGCUCUCCCAGUGACUGGGUACUGCAGAGAUGCCGGUGCUGACCGUGAUCCAGAACCCACAGGUAGAAGAUGGAAGGCCCCGUCCAUGCUCUCCCAAUGACUGGGCACCACAGGGAUGCCGGUGCUGACCGUGAUCCAGAACCCACAGGCAGUAGAUGGAAGGACCCGUCCAUGCUCUCCCAAUGACUAGGCACCACAGGGAUGCCGGUGCUGACCGUGAUCCAGAACCCACAGGCAGUAGAUGGAAGGACCCGUCCAUGCUCUCCCAAUGACUGGGCACCACAGGGAUGCCGGUGCUGACCGUGAUCCAGAACCCACAGGCAGAAGAUGGAAGGCCCCGUCCGUGCUCUCCCAAUGACUGGGCACCACAGGGAUGCUGGUGCUGACCGUGAUCCAGAACCCACAGGCAGAAGAUGGAAGGCCCCGUCCGUGCUCUCCCAAUGACUGGGCACCACAGGGAUGCCGGUGCUGACCGUGAUCCAGAACCCACAUGCAGAAGAUGGAAGGCCCUGUCCACGCCCCCCAAUGUCUGGGCACCACAGAGACUCCACCCUUCACUGCCAAACAGGAAGAGCUCCCCAGGGUCACUGCAUUCCUCCGUAACUGUUUUUGUGUGAAACCCUUGCCAUUUGGGGGUUUUUACAGCAGCUAUAAUUAAUGAAUACAGAUCAGCAUAUUGAAGUUGAAUGCUGACAUGAUAAUAAUACAAGUUACUUACUUGGAGUUGAUGUGGAAAUUACACAAGGCAUAGAACGACACGGACCCCAGACCUGCACCGUGGAAAACUCACUAAAGCUGUCUCCAAAGGGCUGUGAAGGCGACCAUGCCUCUACCCAAUGUGCCGCUCUCAGAAAACCACCAGAGGGGCCAGUGACAGAGACUAUUGUGUUUCGCUUACUGUGUUAAGUUAUACCAAGGGGAAAUUAUCUUUGAAAAUAUGAGACAUUUUGCCAGCAGAAAUAAUUGGAUCCUCAAAGGCUUGGAAAAAUUGUCGUCUUCUAGAACUCAAAUAAUAGGAAAUAAAACCGGAAAUAAAAAAGAAAUGCUUUGAGAAAAAUAUUAAAAGCCCAGAAAAGUUUCUAGUUGAAGAAGAAAAUGUAUCCUUGUGGCAGAAAGCAACCUAAAGACAUCCGCCUUUGACCUAAACAGUGCUUCCAUGUGUCUUCAGAAGAACCACUACUAAGGUGAAAACGCACGGUAUGGGGACAAGCUCCUUCUUAUGUGUAGAGAAACAAAUUCAGUGCGGUUAUGGAGCCCAGCACAGGACACAGGAUCCCGAAACAUGGUCCCCACAUCAGAAACUGCACAGUGGAAACGCCAUGCGAUAGCCAUGCAUCCACCACACAGGACAGGAUGUGAGGGAAGCAGAGGCGGCACAUUCCAAGGACGUGCUAGGUUUGCAGCCAUCAGGACUCGCAUAUGCUACUGGUAGAGUAUGAAUUACUAAAACCACGUGGGGGAAAAAGUGUAGCAAUAUCCACCAAAGCUGAACACGUGCCUACCUACCCACGAAGGUGCACACGUAAGUUUACCAAAAACAUGCUUAUAGAUGCAGCAUCCACACUAGCAACAAAACACGACUAGAAACUACUAGAAGGUCCUUCAGCAGUGGAAUGGAUAAUUAAAUAGACUGUAAUAUUUUCGCACCAUGGCACACCAUGCAGUCAUGAACACAAGAUGCCUACAACUGCACACAGCAGUGGGGCUGCAACCUCACAGACCAAACAUGGAGCAGAAUAAAACAGACACAAGCAAAAUACGCUGCGUGAUUCCAUUCAUAUUCAGGCAGACACAGGCCCAGCUGAUCUGGGCUCUUAAGAACUGGGAUACAGAGAAAGUCCCCAGCCCACCUCAGGCUCAGAUGUACUUGAUUCUCCGCAGACCACCAGGGUGGAGGCCUCCUGCCCCCCAGGCCGAGCAGCCAGUCUCCCUGAGCAGACACAGAAGUCAGAAAUAAUGUUCUGUGAUCUUCGGCCAGUGAAACCUGUGGAUUUGCUUAUUACAGGGGCCAGCAUUACUUAUUACAGGGGCCAUAAUUACUUGUGUAAAGUAAUUUCUUUACACAAGCUACAUAGCUACAUAGUUGACUAUAAGCUUUUAAGCCACACCUCUGAAUUUUCUUCAUCUCUACGGCACUUACAUGCUAACAAAUACUGCAGGACGAUUUUUCAGGUAACGGAGGAGAGGAUAUACCCAAAGUCUAACUCAGAGCAGACAUUCACAAAUUACGAGUUCGUGACUAUUUUUAUCUUAAAAGUGUAAUCUGUUUAGACUCUUUUUCCAUGAAGACUUUCUACUUUAUUAAUCACCCAUUCUGUGUCCAUGGAAAUUCCUGCUUGGGGAUGCAUCCUUUUUCUACCUCCAUUAUUUAAAAUACUGUGGGCACUUCCAAAAUGUUGGUUGAAGAAGGAGGAUAACAUUGUCUCCCUCCUCAAGGAAAACACUAAAUGCUCUGUCAUUUUAAAAUAUUGCUCAAAAUUGUCUUACAAGAAGAUUCUACGACAUCCUUAUCCAAGGAAAAACAUAAAGAGUUCAUCGAUUCUUCAGUGAGCACUGCCGAGAGACUUUCUUUCUUAAUCCAGCUUGUGAUGAGUUUAUUUAAUUGUGGAAGGACUUUCACAAAAUAUUGGAAUUCCUCACAGUUACUGGAGUGUGUCCUCUGAUUAUGAAAUACAAGAAGGAUUGCGGGAGCUUAGGAGUUAAAUUGCUGAACCUUCUGUUGAUCUGGCUGGAAGUGGCCUUUAAGUUAUUCUAAAUAAUGCUUACACAAUGCUGAAGUGCAUAGAGUUUGGCAAUCAUGAGAUUAACUUUCCCUGAAACCACCCAGAAGAUGCUUUAUUCUAUCAAUUUCUCAUGAAAAAUCAAUAUGAUUAACCUUGAAAUUUAUUUCUAACUGUGGAAGAUGCACAUUUCAAAACAGACUCUUGAGCUUCUUUUGUCCUAUGAAACCAGCCAUACUUCAUGGAAAAUAGGCAGUCAAUCAGUGAAUGUCUAUUUCUGGCUAUGAUUUCUACCCACAGAAACAUAUAGUAAAUUCAAUAUGGCUCUUGAAAGCCUUUCAAAAGUUCUUUCUCUCUGGAAAAUGCCUUGCGAACAUGAAUAAUGUCUUUCUCCAUUAGUGUGGCAUGGCAUUUAUCUUUGUAGAUUAAACAAGCGAAUCAGCUGGCAACUUGUGCCUCAGAAGGCAACAUCACAGCCACUUUAUUAGAGAAUGCCGGUAGCUGGAAUCUUAAUUUUGGAAGGACUUUCACACACACACACGCACACACACACACACACACACACACACAAAGGAUCCUUGUGGCAGAAAGCAACCUAAAGACAUCCCCUUUUGAACUAAACAGUGCUCCCACAUGUCUUCAGAAGAGCCACUGCUAAAUCGAAAAGCUCCUUCUAAUGUGGACAAAAACAAAUUGCAUCAUCAGCCAAUGAGACGAGACUGAACUUGCAUCCUUUUCCCACGGCAGAGCAUCUGGGAAGGGGGUUUGUGCCAGGUGCUCAUAUUUACCUAAUCUACCUGUGUCAGAACAAAACCUGGGAUGUGUCCUUCAUGGCACUGGGGUGAGAUGUUUUAGACUCAUGCAAAAAUGUCCAUGAAAUGUAAUGCUUUUUCCACUCGUGAAGGAAAAUAUUUUCUGAUAUUAAAAAGAUAGUCUUUGAAGGUA